GCAGACGUAGCUCAGUGGGAGAGCGCUAAGGCCCUCGGGCACUCACUUGCCCGUCAUCGGGCCGACGCGUGAGGGUUAUCGAAUUGGAUCGAGAGGUCGUCGGUUCGAAUCCGACCGUCUGCA
rnacentral:tRNA from 1 species